GGAUGUUCGAAACACGAAACGUCGAGACCAGAAAACAAAAGUCUCUUUCUCACUCUCUCUUGAUAAACGUGCUCUGUGCAGAACUGUAAGCACGCGGCUCACCAAAGAUCAUUACUUUACUUAAACUCACUCUUAACUCUCCCUCUCUCUCUCUCAGGGUUUAAACUCACACUUGCUCAUUAAUUCCCACCGCUAACAUUGUCAUGGCUUCUUUUAUUUCCGGCUUCCGCAACUUCGUUCCAGCUUCAUCUUAUCCAAAGAGUCCUAUUACAAUGGAGGUGCUGUUAAGAACUGGUCGGAGAAUAAUAAUAAUUCAUCAUGUAUCAAACUUCUCACUCGUUUCCGUGGGUUGAUUUUGCCUAUGGUUAGUUAGGGAAUGAAGCAAAUGGUCCGUGCUUGUAUGAUAGAUGUAUAAAGAAUCCAAUGUCUAUCUUCUCUUUUGUGUGUUUUAAAUGAUUUUGGAUUCUUGAAAUAUAAAAUCAAUUGGAUUGAUUCUGAUUAUCACAUUUUACUC